rnacentral:rRNA from 1 species
UACGUAGGGGGCUAGCGUUGUCCGGAAUCACUGGGCGUAAAGAGCGUGUAGGCGGCCCGGUAAGUCCGCUGUGAAAGUCGGGGGCUCAACCCUCGAAUGCCGGUGGAUACUGUCGGGCUAGAGUGCGGAAGAGGCGAGUGGAAUUCCUGGUGUAGCGGUGAAAUGCGCAGAUAUCAGGAGGAACACCAAUUGCGAAGGCAGCUCGCUGGGACGUAACUGACGCUGAGACGCGAAAGCGUGGGGAGCAAACAGG